AAAAAGGCAAUGACGGGAAUAAGGCAUGAGUCCCUUUUUCAGAGAACCGGCGGAUGGUGUGAGCCGGUAGAGGAAUUAAUGCGGAUAGCUCAUCCCUGAGCCGCCGGUUCCGAUUCAGUAGGGCCGGACGCAGCGGCAGCGUUAUCAGAGCCGUGGCCUUGAUAGAGGCUGCUGAGGGUUCCUUUGCGGAACUGAACUUGGGUGGUACCACGAAUAGAUUCGUCCCAAAG
rnacentral:ncRNA from 1 species